UGGGCACACGCAAGCUUCGAAGUGGGC
rnacentral:piRNA from 1 species